CACAUGUGCUCUGUUACUCUCAGGAGUAUGGGGCUAAUUAGAGGGACCGCUGCCGCUGAGGCGGAGGAAGGAGGGGGCUACGGCAGGUCAGUAUGCCCCGAAACCCUCGGGCCACACGCGGGCUGCAAUGGUAAGGACAAUGGGCUCCGAUUCCGAAAGGAGGAGGCAAUCCCUAAACCUUACCUCAGUUAUGAUUGAGGGCUGAAACUCGCCCUCAUGAAUAUGGAAUCCCUAGUAAUCGCGUGUCACCAUCGCGCGGUGAAUACGUCCCUGCUCCUUGCACAAA
rnacentral:rRNA from 1 species